rnacentral:rRNA from 1 species
CGUGUGCGAUGAAGGCUUCGGGUUGUAAAGCACUUUUGGCAGGAAAGAAAUCGCACGGGUUAAUAACCCGUGUGGAUGACGGUACCUGCAGAAUAAGCACCGGCUAACUACGUGCCAGCAGCCGCGGUAAUACGUAGGGUGCAAGCGUUAAUCGGAAUUACUGGGCGUAAAGCGUGCGCAGGCGGUUCGGAAAGAAGGAUGUGAAAUCCCAGGGCUUAACCUUGGAACUGCAUUCUUAACUACCGGGCUAGAGUAUGUCAGAGGGGGGUGGAAUUCCGCGUGUAGCAGUGAAAUGCGUAGAUAUGCGGAGGAACACCGAUGGCGAAGCAGCCCCCUGGGAUAAUACUGACGCUCAUGCACGAAAGCGUGGGGAGCAAACAGGAUUAGAUACCCUGGUAGUCCACGCCCUAAACGAUGUCACUACUGUUGGGGNCUUCGGGCCUUAAUANCGCA